UAGUACGAGAGGACCGGGAUGGACAUACCUCUGGUGUACCAGUUGUCGUGCCAACGGCAUAGCUGGGUAGCUAUGUAUGGACGGGAUAAGUGCUGAAAGCAUCUAAGCAUGAAGCCCCCCCUCAAGAUGAGAUUUCCCAACUUCGGUUAUAAGAUCCCUCGAAGAUGACGAGGUUAAUAGGUUCGAGGUGGAAGCGUGGUGACACGUGGAGCUGACGAAUACUAAUCGAUCGAAGACUUAAUCAA
rnacentral:rRNA from 1 species